AUUAGCGGCGGACGGGUGAGUAACACGUGAGUAACCUGCCUUAGACAUUGGGAUAGCCUCGGGAAACCGGGAUUAAUACCAAAUAAAAUCAUAAUGACACAUGUCAUAGCGAUCAAAACUCCGGUGGUCUAAGAUGACUCGCGUCCCAUUAGCUAGUUGGUAGAGUAAAAGCCUACCAAGGCGACGAUGGGUAGCCGGCCUGAGAGGGUGAACGGCCACAUUGGAACUGAGAAACGGUCCAA
rnacentral:rRNA from 1 species